rnacentral:misc_RNA from 1 species
AGAAGAGGAAGGAGAAGGUGGUGGAGAAAGAAAAAGAACGGAAAGGAACAGAAAGAGUAGGAGGUGGAGAAGGAGGAAGAGAGCCGCGAGUGCGACGACCGAGCCACAAUAGUGUGCGUCGUUUGUUGUUUCGUUGGCCAGUUUUCGGUUUGCAGUUUUCGUUUUCGUGAAUCCACGCAAUUUAAAGCGUGUCAGCUCGAGAGAGAAGCGGCAAAUCGGAGCACGAGUCACAGGAAGGGAUAUACAUGCGGUGAACCCUUCGAGUGGAUACAAUCACAGUAGAGAGUUAUAUAUUAGCGCGAGUUCUACUUCUCUGGCCGUCGUUGCGGAAGUCGCGGGUGGAGGGCCAGACCGAGAGGAACAGUGGAGAGGAACCCAGUGAAUCACCUGUGGUGAUAUGCAGUAAACGGGAGAGGGGAAA